rnacentral:rRNA from 1 species
UACGUAGGGCGCAAGCGUUAUCCGGAAUUAUUGGGCGUAAAGAGCUCGUAGGCGGUCUGUUGCGUCUGCUGUGAAAACUCGGGGCUUAACCCCGAGCCUGCAGUGGAUACGGGCAGACUAGAGGUAGGUAGGGGAGAAUGGAAUUCCCGGUGUAGCGGUGAAAUGCGCAGAUAUCGGGAGGAACACCGGUGGCGAAGGCGGGUCUCUGGGCCGAUACUGACGCUGAGGAGCGAAAGCGUGGGGAGCGAACAGG